AACGAGGGACCCUGCAAAAACUGGCAGGUCGAACGAACUUCCGUUAAUUGAUCAUGACGUACUUGUACUGAUUGAGAUUUUAACACGAAGUGAGUGGCGAACGGGUGAGUAACACGUGGGUAACCUGCCCAGAAGUAGGGGAUAACACCUGGAAACAGAUGCUAAUACCGUAUAAUAGAGAAAACCGCAUGGUUUUCUUUUGAAAGAUGGCUCUGCUAUCACUUCUGGAUGGACCCGCGGCGCAUUAGCUAGUUGGUGAGGUAACGGCUCACCAAGGCAGUGAUGCGUAGCCGACCUGAGAGGGUAAUCGGCCACAUUGGGACUGAGACACGGCCCAGACUCCUACGGGAGGCAGCAGUAGGGAAUCUUCCACAAUGGACGAAAGUCUGAUGGAGCAACGCCGCGUGAGUGAAGAAGGGUUUCGGCUCGUAAAGCUCUGUUGUUAAAGAAGAACGUGGGUGAGAGUAACUGUUCACCCAGUGACGGUAUUUAACCAGAAAGCCACGGCUAACUACGUGCCAGCAGCCGCGGUAAUACGUAGGUGGCAAGCGUUAUCCGGAUUUAUUGGGCGUAAAGCGAGCGCAGGCGGUCUUUUAAGUCUAAUGUGAAAGCCUUCGGCUCAACCGAAGAAGUGCAUUGGAAACUGGGAGACUUGAGUGCAGAAGAGGACAGUGGAACUCCAUGUGUAGCGGUGAAAUGCGUAGAUAUAUGGAAGAACACCAGUGGCGAAGGCGGCUGUCUGGUCUGUAACUGACGCUGAGGCUCGAAAGCAUGGGUAGCGAACAGGAUUAGAUACCCUGGUAGUCCAUGCCGUAAACGAUGAUUACUAAGUGUUGGAGGGUUUCCGCCCUUCAGUGCUGCAGCUAACGCAUUAAGUAAUCCGCCUGGGGAGUACGACCGCAAGGUUGAAACUCAAAAGAAUUGACGGGGGCCCGCACAAGCGGUGGAGCAUGUGGUUUAAUUCGAAGCUACGCGAAGAACCUUACCAGGUCUUGACAUCUUCUGACAGUCUAAGAGAUUAGAGGUUCCCUUCGGGGACAGAAUGACAGGUGGUGCAUGGUUGUCGUCAGCUCGUGUCGUGAGAUGUUGGGUUAAGUCCCGCAACGAGCGCAACCCUUAUUACUAGUUGCCAGCAUUAAGUUGGGCACUCUAGUGAGACUGCCGGUGACAAACCGGAGGAAGGUGGGGACGACGUCAAAUCAUCAUGCCCCUUAUGACCUGGGCUACACACGUGCUACAAUGGAUGGUACAACGAGUCGCGAGACCGCGAGGUUAAGCUAAUCUCUUAAAACCAUUCUCAGUUCGGACUGUAGGCUGCAACUCGCCUACACGAAGUCGGAAUCGCUAGUAAUCGCGGAUCAGCAUGCCGCGGUGAAUACGUUCCCGGGCCUUGUACACACCGCCCGUCACACCAUGAGAGUUUGUAACUACCUCGAAA
rnacentral:rRNA from 1 species